rnacentral:rRNA from 1 species
CAAUAGCGUAUAUUUAAGUUGCUGCAGUUAAAAAGCUCGUAGUUGGAUUUCGGGUGGGAUUGGCCGGUCCGCCGUUUCGGUGUGCACUUGCUACGCCCACCUUGCUGCCGGGGACGUGCUCUUGAGUUCACGCUCGGGACACGGAGUCGGCGAGGUUACUUUGAGUAAAUUAGAGUGUUCAAAGCAGGCCUACGCUCUGAAUACAUUAGCAUGGAAUAACACGAUAGGACUCUGGCCUAUCUUGUUGGUCUGUAGGACCGGAGUAAUGAUUAAGAGGGACAGUCGGGGGCAUUCGUAUUUCAUUGUCAGAGGUGAAAUUCUUGGAUUUAUGAAAGACGAACUACUGCGAAAGCAUUUGCCAAGGAUGUUUUCAUUAA